CCUAGAAAUAAAGAGAAACUUACAUAAAAUUCAAUACAAAAAGGCUUUUGGACACACACUAAACUUAAGGAAAAAACACUAAAAAUACCGUAAAAUCACGGUAUAUCAUUCAUCACGAUAUUUUAAAGUCAUUGGUGCCUGUCGAAACUUUUUAGGCAUUUUUUUUGAUUUUUUACGAGUGUUACUUAUUUUUCGGCCAUUUUGGGCAUGAACAGAAUAUUAGGCAAUUCUUGGGCAAUUACAAAGAGAAGGAAUUUCUUGUUCUCUUAUUCUUCACGAUAUUAUAUUGUCAAUGGUGCAAGUCAAAAUUUAUUUUAGGUGUCUUCCUAUUAUUUGUGUAUUUAUUGAUUUUUUGGUCAUUUUACAACAUUGACUUAAUAUUCGGUCAUUUUCGGGUAGUUACCAAAAGAAGUAAAAAAAUUUCUUCUAUUCGUCAUGAUAUUCUAAGGUCAUUGUUGCAAGUAGGAUUCUUUUUGAGGAAUUUUUUGUAUAGUUUCUAUGUGUUUCUUAAUGUUUCUGCCAUUUUGGGGGAAUUUACAUAAUAUCGAUCAUAUAAGGCAGUUACUAAAUAAAAUAAAAAGUAUUAUCUCAUAUUAUUCACAAUAUUAUAAGGUCAUUAGUGCAACUCAAAAUUUUUUGAGGCAUUUUUGUAUUGUUUAUGUUUGUUUCUUGAUUUUUAGCUAUUUUGGAGUAUUUACUUAAUAUUCAAGUAUUUUCGGGUAGUAAAGAAAAGAAGUAAAGUUUUGUUUUCUUAUUUCUCAAGAUAUUCUAAGGCCAUUGGUGCAUAUUGUUUAUGUGUAUUUCGUAAAUUUUUUGGCCCAUUUUAGGGAAUUUUAUCUAAUAUUCAGUAAUUUUUGAGUUGUUACGAAAAGAAGUAAAGUUUUGUUCUUAUUCAAAAGUCAUUUGUGAAAGUUGAAGUUUUUGAAGGAGUUUUACUGUAUUUUUCAUGUGUGUUACUUAAUUUUUAAGCCAUUUUGGACAUCAACGUAAUCGAUAAUUUUUGGGCAGUUACGAAAAGAAUAAAUGCUUAGUUUUCUUGUUAGUCAUGAUAUUCUAAGGUUAUUUCUGCAAGUAAAAAAAUUAAGAUAUUUUUUAUAUUUUUUGUGUUUUUUUCCCGUUCAUUAUGGGUCAUAUACAUAAUUUGCAGCCAUUUCAGAAAAGAAUUGAAGUUUUAUUCUCUUAUUCGUCAAGAUAUUCUAAGAUCAUUGAUCCAAGUAUCAAUGUAUGAGACAUUUUGUAUUGUUCAUGUGUGCUUUGUGUAUUUAGGCCAUUUUGGGGACAUUUGUGUAGUAUUUUUCCAUUCUAGGGAAGUUACAAAAAAAAGUAAAGUUUUCCUCUUAUUGUUACGAUAUUCUAAGGUCACUGGUGUAAAACAAUUUUUUUGAGAAUCUUUUAUGUAUUUUUUUAUUUUUCGUCCAAUUCAGGCAUUCACUUAUAUUAGGCAAUUUUUGGGCAUUUAUUAAAAGAAGUAACAUUUCUUUCUCCUAUUUUACACGAUUUUCUAAGGCCAUUGGUACAAGUCCAAAAUUUAUUAGGCAUUUAAUUUCUUGUAUUAUUUAUGUGUGUGAUAUUCUGAAGUUGAAAUUUUAUUAAGGCAUUUUUUUAUUGUUUAUGUGUGUUUCUUGAUAUUUCAAUCAUUUUUGGGUAUUUAAGUAAUAUUCGGCCCUUUUUGGACAGUUACAAAAAGAAGUACAAUUUUAUUCACUUAUUAGGCCCGACAUUCGAAGGUUAUUCGAUCAAGCCAAAAAAAUUAUGAGGUAUUUUUUGUGUUAUUUAUGUGUGUUUCUUAAUUCUCCAUCAUUUUGGACAUAUAUGUAAUAUUCGAUAAUUUUUGGGUAGUUACGAGAAGAAGUGAAGUCUUAUGCUGUUAUUCGUCACAAAUUAUAAGGUCAUUAGUGUAUGUAAAAAUAAUUUGAGGUGAUUUUUUGUAUUAUUAUGUGUAUUUAUUAAUUUUUAGUCAAUUUUGGGGCACUUACGCAAUAUUUGUCCAUUUACGAGCAGUUACGAAAAGAAGUAAAGUUUUUUUCUCUUAUUCAGCAAGAUAUUUUAGGGUAAUUGGUGAAAAUCAUAAUUUUUUGAGCCUUUUUUGAGUUUAUGUGCGUUUCUUGAUUUUUGGUCUUUUCAAGGCAUUAACAUAGUAUGCGGUCAUUUUGGGCACUCACGGAAAUAAGUAAAGUUUUGUUCUCUUAUUUGUUAUGAUAUUCUAAGGUCUACAUUUGUGCAAGUAAAAAAUGGGAAAUAGUUGUAUUAUUUAUGUGUGUUUCUUGUUUUUUCGCCCAUUUUGGGCAUUUAUGUUAUAUUCUGCCAUUUUCAGGCAUUUACCAAAAGAAAUAAAGAUUUGUUCUCUUAUUUAUCACGAUAUUCUAAGGUCUUUAAUGCAAGUCAAAAAACAUUUUACACUUUUUUGUAAUGGUUAUAUGUAUCUCUUGAAUUUUUUUUUGGCAAUUUUAGGUUAUUUAAGUAAUAUCCGGUCAUUUUCAAACAGUUUUAAAAAGAAGUAAUGUUUGGUUUCGUCACAACAUUCUAAGGUCAUUUGUUCAAGUUGAAAUAAUUUUGAGGCAAUUUUCACACUGUUCAUGUCUUUUUUUUCAACCAUUGUGGAGCAUUCACGUAAUAUUCAGCUAUUUUCAGUUUGUUAUGAAAAAAAUUGAAGUUUUAUUUUCUUAUUUAUCUCAAUAUUUUAAGAUUAUUGGUGCAAAUAAAAAACAUUUAGCGGUGAUUUUUGUAUUGUUUGUGUGUUUCUUGAUUUUCGGUCAUUUUGGGGUAUUUACGUAAUAACCGGCCAUUUUUCUAGCUGUUACAUAAAAAAUUUAAGUUUUGUUCUCUUAUUUUUCACAAGAUUCUAAGGUCCUUAGUGAAAGUCAAAAAAAAUUGAGGUGUUUCUUCUAUUGUUUAUGUCUGUUUCUUUAUUUUUCGACCACUUUACACAUUUACAUAAUAUUUUGCACCUUAUGGACAAUUAUGAAAAGAAUUAAUGUAUUAUUCUCAUAUUCGUCACAAUAUACUAAGGUCAUUGGUGCAAGUUGAAAUUAUUUUGUAUUGUUUAUAUAUGUUUCUUGAGUUUCGAUCAUUUUGGGGCAAUGCGGUAGUACUGAGCAAUUUUCGAGCAGUUAUGAAAGUACGUGAAGUUUUAUUCUGUUAUUCGUCAUGAUAUUCUUAAGGUCAUUCGUGCAAGUCAAAAUAAUUUUGAGUCACUUUUAGUACUAUUUAUGUGUGUUUCUAGAUUUUUUGGUCAUUUUAAAUAUUUAGAUAAUAUUAAGCCAUUUACGGUCUUUUACGAAAAGAAGUAAAGUUUUAUUUUUUAUUCGUCGUACUAUAUUAAGGUUAUUCGUGCAAGUGAAAUAUUUUUUGAGAUCAUUUUGUAUUGUUUAUGUUUUUUUAUUUGUCGAUUGUUCUGUGGAAUUUACACAAUAUUUGGCCAUUUUCGAGUAAUUAAGAAAAGAAUUGAAGUUUUAUCUUUAUUUGUCAUGAAAUUUUAAUGUCUUUGGUGCCAUUCAAAAUUAUCUUGAGGAUGUUUUUUGAUUGUUUAUGUGUGUGUUUUGAUUUUUCGAUUAUUUUUGGGCAUUUGUGUAAUAUUUUUUUAUUUUUGGAUAGUUAUGAAAAGAAAUAAAAUUUUGUUUUGUUCUUUAUCACGAUAUUCUAAGGUCAUUAGUGCAAGUCGAUAUUUUUUAGAUGUUAUUUCGUAUAGUUAAUGUGUGUUUCUUGAUUUUUAGCCAUUUUGUGGCAUUUACGUAUUAUUCGGCCAUUUUUUAGCAGUUAUAAAAAUAAAAAAAGUUUUGUGAUGUUAAUCAUCACUAUAUUCUAGGAUCAUUGGUGCACGUCCAAAAAUUUUGAGGUGCUUUUGUUGAUGUCUACGUGUGUUUCAUAAUUUUUUGAUCAUCUUGGCAUUUACAUAAUCGGCCAUUUUUUGGCAGUCACGAAGAGAAGUAAAAUUUGAUUCAAUUAUUUUUCACGUUAUUCUAAGGUCAUUGGUGCAUGUCAAAACACAAUUGAGGAAUAUUUUAGCAGUUAUUAAAGAUGUUAAUUUUGUUCUGUUAUUUGUCACGAUAUUCUAACGUUAUUGGUGUAAGUAGAAUGUUUUUAGACAUUUUUUGUAUUGUAUAUGCAUGUUUCUUGAUUUUUCGGCAAUUCUAGGAGUUCACGUAAUAUUUGACCAUUAUUAUUUUCUUAGGAAAGAAGUGAAAUUUUGUUCUCUUAUUCGGCACAAAAUUCUAAAGUCAUUAGUACAAGUCAAAUUUUUUAAAAGUGUUUUUGCAUUGUUUAUGUGUGAUUUUUGAAAUUUGGGGUAUUUACGUAAUAUUCAGCUAUUUUCGCGCAGUUAUGAAAAGAAUUUUUUUUUUGCUAAUUCAUCACUAUAUUCAAAUGUCAUUGGUGCAAGUCGAAAUUUUUGUGAGCGGUUUUUGUAUUAUUUAUCUCUUUUCCUAGUAUUCUGGGUAUUCACGAAAUAUUAAGCCCUUUUGGACAGUUACAAAAGAAGUACAGUGUUGUUCUCUUAUUCGUCACAUUAUUCUAAGGUCAUUAAUGUUAGUCAUAUUUUUUUUGAGGUUUUAUUUGUAGUGUUUGCGUGAUUCCUAAUUUAUCGGUCAUUUUGGGGGAUUUACAUAAUAUUGAUUUUUUUCAGGCACUUUCAAAAAGAAGUAAUCUCAUUCCUGAACAAUAUUCUAAGGUCAAUUGUACAAGUCAUAAUUUUUUUGAGGUGUUUUUAUAAUGUCUAUUUGUGUUUCCUGAUUUUUCAAGGCAUUUACGUAAUAUCCAACCAUUUUCAAGCAGUUAAAAAAUGAAAUAAGGUUAUUUUUAUCUUAUCAUUCAUGAUAUUCUAUGGUCAAUGGUGCAAUUUGAAAUUUUUUGAUGUGUUUUUUGUCUAGUUUAUGUGCGAUUUUUGAACUUUCGGUCAUUUUAGGGGGAUUUAAGUAAUAUGCAGCAAUAUUCGGGCAGUGACGAAAUGAAGUUCAGUUUGUUGUCUUUCAUCAUGAUAUUCUAUGGUCAUUGGUGAAUCUGUCUAAAGAUGAACGCGGAAGUUUUUGAGCAAGAAAUGCAGAAAAGUUACCACCUACAUAGCCUGUGACAGUUCGUCGUGCCUGUGAUGGUGCGUACGUGGCAUCAUAGUGAAGAUGUUGAAGUAAGAUGGGGAAGUCUGACCAAGUGUGGGAUUACGAAGUUCAUGAUGGACUGUCGUAGCCAUGACAGUCCAUCCUGCUGGUUCGUCAUGAUGAUCAAAGAGUAAUCCCAGUACCGAAUUUCCAAGAAGUAUACAUGUUAUGGAAUGGAGACCCUCGACGAAUUUUCGUGCCUUAAACGGUUCGUCAUACCUGUUCGGCGAGGGUAAUGAAGAAAGCAGCUGAAGGAUCUUUAAAGUAUAGGACGACGGAGUCCAUGACGGCUCGUCCUGACCAUGACGGCCCAUCACUAGGCUCGUCGAUCAAGCCGUGUUUUGAAAGAUUUUCAGCAAUUAGAGUCUUUCUUUUAUAAGGUUUUUUUUAUAAAUAGUUUGAAAAAACCUCGUUUUUGGGGUUAGACUCUCUUAUGGUUAAACUCUCUUAUCGUUGGACUCUCUUAUAGUUGUGAGAUUCUCUUUUGUUAUACUCUUUGUUAGUAGACUUUGUGAUUGAUAUAAUUUUAAAGAAUUUUUAGUCUU